UUGUUAAACUCAUAACUACACACAUUAACAUGCCAGAGCUAAUGGCGAGACAUGUUAGCAUUUGUAAUAUUGAGGCUAGAUAUGGUUAGCUGAUUUGGAACAUGCUAACAUGACUUCUACCAUUAGUGAUUACAAAAAUCACCAAAUGCUUCACGACGUACAACAAUCUGUCCCUGAAAUUCACAGCAGAUAGAGACAGAUAUAACCACAGCUAACUUCAGUAUGCUAACAAUACUCACGUUUAGUGCAUCAUUAUUACAGGAGUAAAGUUGGUUUAAGAAAAUGUUAAUUCUUUGAAGCAUUGCAUCAGACUAAGAAUCUUGCACUAAAUGUAACUAAGCUAAUGUUGGCACGCUACCAUUAACAUACAGCUAAUUUUAGCAUGUUAAUUUUCCCAUGAUGUGGACCCUAGUAAAUAUAUUGGCACGCUUGCUAAUGUAUCUACAUUACCUUGUAGCAUUAGCUUGCUAACCAAGCAGCCACAUUUUAUUUUAGCCACACAACUGAGCGUACACAGUUUUCAUGCUAACAUUUAAUUUGCAGUAUUCCCACCUUUAUUUCAGCAUCUGUUUGCUAGUUACAGCCUAAUAAAUGUGAUGCCACAGAUAAUAAAUGCUCAGUUAAAUUGAACUCGUAGCUAUAACUUAACUGGCAAUACGCUAGCAUUACAUAGACGUGAGAUUAAUAAUAAAUGGUAACAUUAGCAUUACAUUACUAUGAGCGUGACUUUUUUUUUUUUUUUUUUUGCACAGUAACAAUUUGAUAAAGCUACAUGUAAAUUUAAAAAGUGUCGUAUUCUCUUCGUGAUGGAAGAUGGAUGGAAGCCAAAAACUGUUUAAUACUCCACCCGAUCAGCUGGUGUAAUGGAUCGAUUUGUACUUAAACGUGAAGCCAUAAUCGAUCAAAUCGCAGUUUUUUCUCCAUAGUGUUCAAGCCGUUCACUCAGUCCUCCGCCCAGCAGGUGGCGGCAUUUCACGCAAACCAGAGUGGAGAUAAAUUUGGUUUCUGGCUGAAUGUAUCCUGCUUUAGACCAGACUAAACAGUUUGCACUGGAAGAUGCUUUUAGAACUUUUACAACCACGUUCUCUUUUGUAUAAGUCUUCAAACGCUUUAAUCACUUUUGUACACUGAUGAAUAAUGUGCAUGUCGUCUUCUGUUGUGUAGCUUCCAACUGUAUGUUCAUUUUCGUGCUUUUAUUUAUUAAAACAUGAA